AUUUUGACUGUGCAAAGGUAGCAUAAUCAUUAGUCUUUUAAUUGAGGACUGGUAUGAAUGGUUUAACGAAGUAUUAACUGUCUCAUUUUAAUAAAUUGAACUUAACUUUUGAGUCAAAAGGCUUAAAUAGAGUUAGAGGACGAGAAGACCCUAUAGAGCUUUAUAAAUUAAAUAUUAGGUUGGAGUUAGAUGUUUUGUUUAACUUAAGUAAAAAAUUUAUUUUAUUGGGGUGAUAUAAAGAUUUAAUUAACUCUUUGUAAUAAAUAUACACUAAUGAGUGAAUAGUUGAUCCAUUUUUAGUGAUUAUAAGAUUAAGUUACCUUAGGGAUAACAGCGUAAUGUUUUUUGAGAGUUCUUAUCAACAAGAAAGAUUGCGACCUCGAUGUUGGAUUAAGGAAAAAGUUGGG
rnacentral:rRNA from 1 species